CCAUUCAAUAACCUCGUCGCAGUCUCUUUUCCCCAUGACAAAAGCCAAUUCUUCUUCUCAAGAACCUUUUCCUGAAAACCAACAUUUUCCGAAUACUCCAACUGUGCCAAACGAAAGAUUUAGUAGAGUAACAAUAAUGACGCUUUUCGCGGCAGAUGGAAACUGGUUGCUCAUUUGUUGUGGCACCCACUUUGCAGUGUUGUCGCACCAUAAAAAGAACGACCAUUCAGCAUUAACAGAUGGCAUUAAUUUUGAAUUAAUAGUUCAAUCUACAACCUCGACAAAAGCGCUGACGAAGAAUGAUCAUAACGUGGAACCUAAAAGAGGAUCUGAAAAUGAAAAUGGUUCUACUGGCGACUCUCAAGAAAAAUUGGAGAUGCUCGGAAACAUAACUUGUUGUCAAGUUUUGUCCGAGAAGGCGAGAUCCGCUUUCGGAACUGAUUUAAAGCAUGUUUGGGUUUUAGAUUUAUCACGCGGAAACAAAGAAAUAGUUUUGAUGGCAAUUAUAUCGCUGGAAAAAAGACCGGUUUCAUUGUCUAUAGUAACUCAGGAUAUUGUCCUGGUUGGAGAGAAAGCAGGAUUCAUUUCGAAAAUUGAGUUUAACUCAAAACUGGAAGAGGUGAAGAAAAUCGCAGGUUUCUCGCUUCCUUUUUUGUUGAUGAGAAACGCUUCCGAAGAAAAAUGCGACAACAAAAGUGUAAGGAGAAACAUUAUUGUUGGUGGUGUUCAUGUUUCACAUACUAUCUGUGCAGGAUGUGUAACUUCACUCUUGGUGCAAAUAAAAAUGCAACCUAAUCAGAAAAAGCUGGUGGCGUUAUGCGAUCGAGACAUGAAAAUCAAAAUAUACAACUACCCUGACUUAUUUUUAGUCGAGAGAAUACUAAUGGGUCAUCGUGAUUACGUCACGAGUUGCUGUUUUCUGGGAUCUGAAGAUAACCGGUUACUGUCAGGUAGUUACGAUGGGUCCUUAAAACUGUGGGAUGUCCACCGGGGCACAUGUGUUGCUUCAUUAAAUCUAAAAUCUUCUCAUUUUUUUGAGGACCGUGCGACUAAUGGAUUUUCACAUUUAACUGGCGCUUAUCCCAUUUUGAUAGACAGUAUAACGGAAAGCAUGGCGGUAGUGGCUACCAGGAAUCCGUCGCUUUUGCUUCUGAUUGAUUGUGAAUUGGGUUCGGCAUGUGGCAGACAAAUUAAACUUAAAUAUAGUUCCAAAGUAGAUUUCAAUCAAGUUGAAAUUACAUGCGUUUCCGUUAUGCAUAAAUUUAACCUGGUUGCCGUGGGGUUAAGGCAUCCUCAGUCAAAAGAUUUAAAGCCAAAUGAAGAGUGCAUUGGAUUAUUUUCAAUCCAAUCGCAACCUGUUUGGGCACUGAACCGGAAUACACAAUUGGAUUCAGUUUCUUCACUUUUGGGCAUGAAAAAUUUUUCGACCGAAUUUUUCAGUUGCAACUUGACUUUUAUGUUAGAUUUUGAAACCGUGUCUUCCAAUCCCUUCGAUAAUCAAUUAUCUAAAGAUAAGAGCGGACAAGAAGACAGUGAUGACGUCGCGUAUUUUGGGCUGUCUUUAGCACGCAAAAUGUCACCAGGCACGAAAGUUGACGAUUUAUGCUCUUAUAAAUCAAUCGGAGAGGAAAUGUGUCCGAUUAUAAAAAAGCCUAAGCUUGAUGAACUAAAUUCCCACGAGGAAUCAAAACUCGCGGAUGGAUAAUUGGAAAAGUUUGAAGGUGGAAUAAUCAAGACUAGAAUUUUGGUUGAUGUUAAAUCUAGCCUUUUUUGAUGUAACAUCUGAGCUAGAGUUGGAAUUAAACAUUUAAGUUCA